UCAUGGAUAGACAUGGGACGGCCUUGGGAUCACCCCCAGAAUUUCCAGCUUUCAUGUUUGUCUUUUAAAACAGUGCUCAGAAUCAAUGCAUGGAGUGAACAGGUGGCUGGGCUACUGGCUGAAAAAAAGGAGGGAAAUGUUUAAAAUGAAGAAAGCAGAUGCUACCAGCACUUUUUUUCCUGCUUUGAAUGCUUCCAGGAAGUAUUUUGUUAUCAUGCAAUACUCACUAUCAGGAUUAUUACAAGGUUUAGUUGCAGUGUUCUCCUCGCAGAAGUAGUGUUUGGUUUGUAGGCAGUGUAGUUAGCUGAUUGUAUCCAUCUCUUUGCAAUCACUAACUUGACUGCCAUCAAAACAAGACACAGAAUUCCCUGCUACAGCCUCGGCACAGAGAACAGCACGUCUUACAAGCUGCUGAUGUCUAACUCACAGAAUAAAUCAUCACAUCUUUCAUUUACAACUUCAUUUUCAGAAAUGUCAGCUGUUCAACAAAGAAUGCAUUGUUGAAGAAGUCAGGUGAAAUCUUAGCCCCAUUUAGUCAGUGGCAAAACUCCCAUUGACAUCAGUGGACCCAGGAUUUCACCUGUUGUGUUUAAUUUGGCUUUUGGAAAACACCUCAAACAUUCAAUUCUUUAUGUACCAAGAUUUGACCAACAAGCAUUCUAGGGCAAAGAAAACAGGCCAGAGAAUUUAAGUCCAGUUCAUUUGACUUUAAAAAUUCUCUUAAAGAUAUGAGCAUGUAUGUAUCAAUUCUUGUUUAACAAACUAAAAAUAGGUAGAUACUUCUAAAAAUGCUUAGAGAUGAUCAUAUGCUGUGUUGUGCUGUAAAUACAUCUUCACUAUGUUAGCAUAUGUCACCCUCUCCACUUUGGUGAACUUCUAAGAAUUAAUUAUAAAGAAAUAUCAAUUCAACUUAAUAGUACAAGAGUCUACCAUCUUUCAGUGGCAAGAUCUGAUCUUAAUAAAAUCAGAUGUUGGAAAUGAACUGUCUUGUACAUUAGCCUAGUUACCAGGCAGUGUAGUUAGCUGAUUGCUAAAGGUAACAAUCACUAACCACACAGCCAGGUAAAAAGGUAUGUAAUGCAUCUUGUUGGAAGUCUGGAAUACUGAACACAAAAGGCAUUUAGCCUGGCUCCUUUGUAGAGGUGCACAAUGCAGAGACAAAGCAGAGCAAAUGAAACAUAAUGGAUUCCCCAUAAACAUGCAAGUGACAUCAAUCUAAUUGUCAGCUUAAUAUUGUAUAGCUGUUAAGCUGGAAUAAAGCUGCAUAUUAAAAUG